rnacentral:rRNA from 1 species
AUUGAACGCUAGCGGCAGGCCUAACACAUGCAAGUCGAACGGAGCGGCGGACGGGUGAGUAAUGCAUCGGAAUCUGCCUAGUAGCGGGGGAUAACUACGGGAAACCGGAGCUAAUACCGCAUACUAUUGGAUCGGCCUAUAUCGGAUUAGCUAGUUGGUGGGGUAACGGCCGACCAAGGCGACGAUCCGUAACUGGUUUGAGAGGACGACCAGUCACACUGGAACUGAGACACGGGCCAGACUCCUACGGGAGGCAGCAGUGGGGAAUAUUGGACAAUGGGGGAAAGCCUGAUCCAGCCAUGCCGCGUGUGUGAAGAAGGCCUUCGGGUUGUAAAGCACUUUAAGUAGGGAGGCGGUACCAGCAGAAUAAGCACCGGCUAACUUCGUGCCAGCAGCCGCGGUAAUAC